rnacentral:rRNA from 1 species
UCCAGACUCCUACGGGAGGCAGCAGUGAGGAAUAUUGGUCAAUGGGCGGGAGCCUGAACCAGCCAAGUCGCGUGAGGGAUGACGGCCCUAUGGGUUGUAAACCUCUUUUGCCGGGGAGCAAAGUGCCGCACGUGUGCGGUUUGGAGAGUACCCGGAGAAAAAGCAUCGGCUAACUCCGUGCCAGCAGCCGCGGUAAUACGUAGGGAGCAAGCGUUGUCCGGAAUUACUGGGCGUAAAGGGCGCGUAGGUGGGCGCUUAAGUCAGGUGUGAAAACUCCGGGCUCAACCUGGAGACUGCACUUGAAACUGGGUGUCUUGAGGGCAGGAGAGGAAAGUGGAAUUCCUAGUGUAGCGGUGAAAUGCGUAGAUAUUAGGAGGAACACCAGUGGCGAAGGCGACUUUCUGGACUGUACCUGACGCUGAGGCGCGAAAGCGUGGGUAGCGAACGGGAUUAGAUACCCGGGUAAU